ensembl:lncRNA
UUGUAUUUCAGGUGUACAGCAAAGUGACUCAGUUAUGCAUAUACAUAUAUAUUCCUUUUAAAAUUCUUUUCCAUUAUAAACCAUCACAAGAUAUUGAGUAUAGCUCCCUGUGCUGUACAGUAAGUGCUUGUUGGUUAUCUAUGUUAUACAUUAUAGUGUGAAUAUGUUACUCCCAAAGUCCUAAUUUUUUUUUUUUUUUGUCUUUUUAGGGCCACACGUGUGGCAUAUGGAGAUUCCCAAGCUAGAGGCUGAAUUGGAGCUGCAGCUUCCAGCCUACACCACAGCCACAGCAAUGCCAGAUCCAAGCCACAUCUGCGAGCUACACCACAGCUCACAGCAAUGCUGUAUCCUUAACCCAGUGAGCAAGGUCAGGGAUCGAACCUGCAUCCUCAUGGAUGAUAGAUUUGUUUCCACUGAGCCACAACAGGAACUCCUAACUUUUUGGGGGUCUUUUUAGGGCUGCACCUGCAGCAUAUGGAAGUUGCCAGGGUAGGGGUUGAAUGGGAGCUGCAGUAGCCAGCCUAUGCCACAGUCACAGCAAUGAGAGAUCCAAGCCACAUCUGUGACCUAAACCACAGCUCACGGCAAUGCUAGAUCUAGAUCCUUAGGCCAAUGAACAAGGCCAGGGAUCUCGAACCGGCAUCCUCAUGGAUACUAUGUCGGGUUCUUAAUCCACUGAACCACAACAGGAACUCCAUUUAUAGUGGAGCUUAAAAAAGGCAGAGGGACUCUUUCUCUGACUCUUCUACUUUUAGUUAUGGUUUUUUUUCAGCUCCCUGAAAAGCAGACCACACCCUGUAUAACAGCCUGUUUGGGGCAUUAGUUCAUUUCCAUUUUUAUACUUCCAAAGCAUAGGAUCAGUUAAAAUACCCAGUGAAGAAGGAUGUCUGCUGUUUUCCUCCAGCAUAAAUAAGUUGAAAUAGUCAGUUCAAAGAGAAGGUCAAUUUUAUAUGUGAAUUUUUUAAAUUCAAUUUUUAAUCAUUCAGAAAGAGAAUUUGAACAUCCCAAUUUAACUUUUUUGGAUCAUGUAUAUUUAACAAUUAAAAAAACCCAAAUAAUGAUUUUUUUAAUUGUUAUUUUUCCAAUACAAUUUUUUUUUAUACUGUACUGCAUGGUGACCCAGUUACACAUACAAAUUCUAUUUUCUCACAUUAUCAUGCUCCAUCCUAAGCGUCUAGACAUAGUUCCCAGGGCUAUACAGCAGGAUUUCAUUGCUGAUCCAUUCCAAAGGCAAUAGUUUGCAUUUAUUAACCCCGAGCUCCCAAUCCACCCCACUCCCUUCCCCUCCCCCUUUGCAACCACAGGUCCAUUCUCCAAGUCCAUGACUUUCUUUUCUGUGGAAAGUUUCAUUUGUGCUGUAUAUUAGAUACCAGAUAUGAGUGAUCAUAUGGUAUUUGUCUUUCUCUUUCUGACUUACUUCACUCAGUAUGAGAGUCUCUAGUUCCAUCCAUGUUGCUGCAAAUGGCACCAAAUAAUGAUUUUUAAUCAGAUAGUUGUAAAGAAUUCCUGAACUCUAGAAAUUGAAAUUAACCAAGUAAAUGAAUAUUUCUGAGGAAUUUCUAGAAUUAACAAAACAGCCAUGUAAUUAUAUAUCUAGUAUUUUGGCUAGAUUUAUUUUUUUUCUGUGUUAUUAUCCUCAUGUUCUGUUAUGAAUGAGUUCAUACAAAGAUGACAGUUUUUAAAAAUGAAUAAAUUAGAAAACUAAAACUCAUUUGUGGAGCAAAAGUAAAUUCUUUUCUAAUUACUUACCUAAGCACAAUUCUUUUCCGAAUGAAAGACCUGAUUUUAAUUUGGUAUAAGAUCAUCAUAAAUAAGAAUCACUUUGUAAGAGUUGUUAUAUUAAAUACAUCAGAAUUCCUGUAGAAAAUGCAGCUUUAAAACAAGCUGUUUAUAAAGCACUGUGACACUUUCACUGUAGUAAAGUAGCUUCCAAUGGGUAACAAGUUUAGCUUGGUUUUUUUUGUUGUUGGUAACUCAGACUUCAUUUCUUAUUUGAGAGGGUUGUAUAGUAAUUUUUAUCACAUGUCAUUAGAAAUACAAUUAGUUAGAACAAAGACUGUUGUGUAAGUAUAAUUACAUCGUCCUGUAUGAUUAAAUGAGGGCUGUAUUGGAGCUUUUUUCGGCAGUGGCCAGCUGUAGCCAACCAAGUACAGCCUAUAAAAGAAUUCCUGUGACUAACUGGUACUAAUUGUUUGUGAAACAACCAGUGGGAGUAAUAUUCAUGAAUUCCAUGGAAAUGAAAUAUUCUAAGACCAAAUGGUUAGUCCUUUGUUUUCACCACUUGUGGUCAGAUUAUACUACAGUAUCCACAGGAGAUUGGUUCCAGGACCCCCAAAGAUAUCAAAAUCCAAAGAUGCUCAGAGUUCCCAUCAUGGCUCAGCAUCCAUGAGGAUACUCAGUGGGUUAAGGAUCUGGCUUGGUGAUGAGCUGUGGUGGCACCUGCAUCUCCAAUUCGACCCCUAGCCUGGGAACCUCCAUAUGCCGCAGGUACAGCCCUAAAAAGACAAUAAAUAGACAAAUAAACAAAAACACAAAUGAUGUUACCCCAUUUCCCCCAUACUGUUUUUCUCAGCAGCUAGUAUGAAGCCUCUCCACCUGGUAAGGAACAUGAUUGCUAACAGCUCUAACUUCCUGUCAUCCCAGCUUACCACCUCCAGUGGAGUGAGGACAUUUCUCUCUAAAUGUCCUAUUUAUUUAUUUAUUUAUUUUUGCCUUUUUAGGGCCACACCUGUGGCAUAUGGAAGUUCCCAGGCUAGGAUCCAGUGUUGUCCCAAGCUGCAACAUAGGUCACAGAUGUGGCUCAGAUCUGGUAUCACUGUGGCUGUGGUGUAGGCGACCAGCUGCAGCUCUGAUUUGACCCCUGGUCUGGGCACUUUCAUAUGCUGCAGGUGUGGCCCCAAAAAAUAUAUAUGUAUAUAUAUAUGGAGGUUCCUGGGUGGUGUAGCUGGUUAAGGAUCCAGGUGUUGCAGCAGCUGUGAUGCAGGAAAUGCAGUGUGGGUUCAGUCCUUGGCUCCAGAAUUUACACAUGCCACAGGUGGAAGAAGUAAAUAAAAUGUUAAAAAACAAAACAAAAACCCAGAAUUGUUUAUCUAUUAAUUCAUCUUUGCUUUGCUAUUGACUUGAGAAAAAGUUUAUAGCAUUUAGAAGUGCAUUGCCAUCAGUGACAAAUGGAACUCCUUUUUCCUUGCCAAGCACAGCCUUUCAGAGAGAGGCAUUCAUAGAAGGAGCAGAUCUGCUUCUGAUUUUAGUUCAUCCAGCGGCAUGCAGGCUUUGGGGACCAAUUAUUACUAGACCUGGAGAUAAAUCACCUCGUGCGCCAUUAGUACUUGAAGGAUUAGUGGCCUCAAAGAUUUAUGUGCGGAUUAAUUGGGGAGUGUGCAUUAGAUCCCUGUGUUUAGAACCAUGAGCGUCCUGCAGAUCAUUUUCAUUAGUGCUUUAUUCAAAAUUCCCUAGCCUUAUAUAAUCCUGACGUUGCAGGGAAAUCUGAAGGAGCCUUUUAUUUAUUUAUUUGUUUGUGGUUUGGCCUUGGCCUCACCCCCAUGCCGUACCCCCUACGGGAGCGUUUUAUAGCUCUGGCUAGGGAUACACUGAGCAUCUAAAAGCAGAGCGGCUUCCAGUAUUGCAGUCAUCACUUCAUCUGCUCCGGCGGAACAGGGCCUGAAAUUUACACGACCCGGUACCAAGAGAGACAAGAUGAGGUACAAGAAAUACAUGGCUAUUCUGGAAGCAGCAGUUGGCAUCACCCCACUUAACAAAAGAGAACUUCUACCCGAGAGCAGAAGACAUGUGAACCUUUGGCAGCAUCCUGGGUAAGCAUAGGAGACCAGGAGAGGUUUUGUGUGUGUUUGGGGGCCUCGAGGGAAGGAAGGAUCACCCCUGUCAUAAGCAUAAGAGCCAUCGAGUUCUCUAUUGAGCACUUGUUUCUUUCUUGUCUUGUCUUUUUUUGUAGUUAGCCUCCCAUUUAUUUGUUUAGUUCUUAUCAGCAUUUUAAAUCAUAUAGCCCUGCAAAGCAAUUUAUACAUUUUAUCUGGUUUAUCAUACUCAUUCUCUAAGCAUGCUGCCUUUUUAUGGGUAAAGUUAAACUCCAUUUCUAGUCUAGUCUUGGCUCAGAUAACAAAUUAGUAUUGUCUCAGCAAAUAAGAACUUGUUUCCUCCUGAAAAUAUGCCCUUCCCAGAUAAAAUUAAAAUGGUCAGUAUGAAAUUCGUGGCAAUAAUACUCUAAGAAAAUUCCUGAUUAAAGUUCCCUGGUGGCACAGCAGGUUAAGGAUCCGGUGUCAUUGUAACACCCCGGUUGAUGCUGUGGCUCGACUUUGAUCCCGAGCCCAUAUGCCAUGGGCACAGCCAAAAAAAGAAAAGAAAAAAA